rnacentral:misc_RNA from 1 species
UUGCAUUGAGUUGAUAAGCCAGGACAUGAUGAGGAAGUUUUUAGAUUCCUAUUGAUUGAAGAAGGGUUAAGUAGCAUGGAUUUAAGUUGUGUACGUGGCUGUAUUUGUGGUUGUGGUCACGGGUUACGUAAAUAGGUUUGUAACAUAAUGAUAACAGCCUAUCAUUGUGCAAUUUUUUUUUAAAAUUUGCAAAGUUCAUGAAAUAAAUAG